ensembl:lncRNA
UGAUUUUUUUUUUCUUGGUCCAGGAUCUAGUCCAGGAUCACACAUUGCACUUAGAUGUCAUGUCUUUUCAGUUUCCUUUAAUAAGCUCCUUAGACUUACUGUGUCUUUCAUUAUUUAUUCAAAAUUGACAUUUUUGAAGAAUACAGGUCAGUUAUUUUAUAGACUAUCCUAAAUUUAGGUAUGUCUGAUAUUUCUUCAGUUUUGCAUUUUUGGCCAGGAAUAACAGAGAAGUGAUGUUGUGUCCUUCUCAAUGCAUCAUAGCAGGAGGUAUAUGAGCCAACAUCAUUCUUCAUGGUUGACUAAUAUUCCACUGUAUGGUGAACUCUAAUUCACUGAAACCAAUUUCCUAUUGUAGGGCAUUUAGGUGGAUCUCAAUCUUUAAAAAUAUGAUCAACUAUGCUGCAAUGAAUAUUCUUGAACAUGCAUAUUUGCAUGGUUGUCUAUUUAUUUCCUCAGGCUAAAUUCCUAGAAGUGAAACCACUGAGUCAAAGGGUCAAGGGAUAGACUUAUUCUGAAAGCUUUUGGCAUCUAAGUGUUGCCAAGUCAUUCUCCAGAGAGCGGCGCAGGACUUUACACUCCUGGCAGUAGUGUCUGUGCAUGCCCUUACUCUCGCCAACCCUGGGAAUUGGAAUCCUUGCCACUUUGAUAGUGGCUUCCCAAUGGUCAUGGCUAAUGAGGGUAGUACAUGAUCAUCAUAGAGGGCUGCAGAUACCAGGAACACAGAAAGUUCUCUCUGGUGUAAAAUGACCUCUUUCCCUCCAACAUCCCAUCAAACAGAGAUUUUCCUGGUUCGUGGCAUGAGAAGUGAUUUUCUGUUGUAUCCUGGACAUUUUGGGUGUUAUGUUAUAAGACUCUGCAUUUUAUUUAAAUCCUCUGACGCUCUGCGGGUGGGGAAAAGUAGGUAGUGCAUCAUUAUUGUUAGGUGGGGGCAGAAGUCUAGCUUCCUCAUCUGGCCUCUGUUGACACUUGGGUGGGGGCAUUCUUGUAGCUGCUGGGUGAGGUUGAGAGUUCAGGCUCCCUACUAGGUCUCUGCUGACACACACUGACUGGGAGAGAGUGAAGUACAUCAUUACUGCUUCCAUUUGGUUUCCAGUGACAUUGUGAUAGAGGGGGACUUGGUACCGCUAGGCAGGGCUGAAAGUCUCAGUUUCCCACUUGGCCUUCUCUGACCCCAUGCCAGCAGGCGGAGGGGCACCUUGUUAAAGCUGGAUGUCUAGAUUCCCCAGUAGUCCUCUGCUGGUAGGGUUUUUUUUUCCUUGAUAUUUGGCUGGAAUAUGGCAGUUGUUGUCUAAAAGUUUUCUGUCCAGCUAGGCUGUCCCUUUCUUGGUCCUUUGACUAGAAGCUUUUAGGUCUUUGUGUAUAUGUGUGUGUCCCUGUUAGAGUGUCCUGGUUCUGGCUUUUCUAGCACCCAGUCUCAUAUAUUUGAGGCAAAAAGAAAACCUAGGGAAUUUACCACCAUGUUUUUCUUUGGGUCUUGAGAUUCCUAGUCAGUCUCCCCUCUCUCCAUCUUUCAGAGUCUUCUUGCGUUUGUUUUAUAAAAUAACGUCCAGGGUUUUAGCUGCACUUACCAGGAGGAAUCAAAAGUGCAUCUAUACCAUCUUGUCCUGGAACUGGAAGGCAGGUUGACAAGUCCUUAAAAUGUCCAACAUAGACUUACCAUAUAGCUCAGCAAUUCCAUUUCUAGAUAUCUACUCAAGAAAAAUGAAAGCAUAUGUCCAUACAAAUACUUGUACACAAAUGUUCAUAGCGGUAUUAGUCACAAUAGUCAUAAAGCAGAAACAAGCCAAAUAACCAUCAACUGGUGAAUGAAUAAACAAAAUGUAAUAUAGCCAUACAAUGGAAUACUAUCAGCAAUAAAAAGAAAUGAAAUACUGUUUGCUACAAUAUGAAUGAACCCCAAAAACAUGUUAAGUGAAAGAAAUCAGACUCAAGAGGCCACAUAUUCUAUGAUUCUAUUUACAUAAAAUGUUCAGAAGAGGCAAAUCCAUAUAGAGAGAAAGAUUACUUUGUUGCCUAGGGCUGGGCAUAAGACAAAUGAGCACCUUUUUGAGGUGAUGGAAAUGUUCUAAAAUUAGAUUAUAGUGAUGGUUUCACAGCUCAGUAAAUAUACUAAAAUCAUUGAAUUGUACACUUAAAAUGAGUGAAUUUUAAAUUAACUCAUAUAAAUAUAUGAGGUAUAUAAAUUAUGCCUCCAUAGAUCUGUUUCAAAAAAGAGAGUCAGAGGAGAGGAAGUGGAGACAUUUUGUAUUGCAAACUUUCUUAAAGAAUUUUGCUGUUAAGAGUUGCAGAGAAAAGAUGUAUAGCAGGAGGGCAUAUGAAGUGAAGGGAAAAUGUUUUUAAACUUAUUAUUACAGAAAAUUUCAAAUUACACAUAAGUGGAAAACCCUCAUAGAUCCAUCAUCCAGAUACAAUAAUCAUUAACUCAGGGCCACUCUGAUUCCAUCUCUACUCCUACCCGUCAACCCUAGAUUAUUUUAGAACAAAUCCUAGACAUCAUAUCAUUUAUAUCACAAAUAUUUUAGUAUCUCUAAAAGACAAGAAAUCUUAAAAAUACAUAACCACAGUGUCAUUAUCAUGUCUAAAAAUUCACAAUAAUUCCUUAGUAACCUAAAAUAUGUGGCCAAUGUUGAAAUUUACCAAAUCAUCUAAUAAAUAUAUAUGCCCUUUGUUUGAAUCAGGAUUAAAACAAGAUCCACUCAUUGCGUUUGGUCGAUAUGUCUCUUAAGUCUUUCUUCUUUUAAAUAGACCUUAUUUUUAAGAACAGAAAAAUUGAGAAGUCUUACAGAAAACUUGAGAAGAUAGUAUGGAGCGUUCCUAUGCACCCUGCACUCAGUGUUCUCUAUUAUUAACAUCUUACGUGAGUAUAGUACAUGUGUUUUAAUUACUGAAUCAAUAUUGAUAAAUUAUCAUUUUCUUAGUUUUUAGUUACUGUCCUUCAUCUGUACCAGGAUCCCAUGUAGGAUCCCACCUUACACAUAUUUGUCAGGUAUCCUUGAGCUCUUCUUGGCUGUGAUUGUUUCUCAGACUUUUCAUUGUUUGAUGACCUUGACAGUUUUGAGGAAUACUGGUUAGGUGUUUUGUAGGAUGCCUCUCUUUUGGGGUUUGUUUGGUGGUUUUCCUCGUGGUUAGAUCGAGAGCUUAAGUCUCUUUUAGUCUUUCUUUUCUUGGCAUUUAUUUGUUGACUAAAUGGCUUGUUUCCUAUAGAAUUUUCCACAUUCUAAAUUUUGCUAAUUGCAUCCCUGUGUCAUUUAUUGCGUUCCUCUGCCUCCUUCAUUUUUUUCUGUAAACUGGUAGUUAAAUUUAAAGACUUGAUAUGAGUCAGGAUCUAUUUUUUGGCAAGGAUACAUCAUAGGUAGUGUUGUGCUGUGUUUUUCCAUCAGGAGGCAGAUAAUUCUAGUUGGCAGCCAUUGAUAAGCAUUGCAUAGAUCCAUUAUUUUAUUAGGGGCUGUAAAAUGGUGAUAUUCUAAUUCUAUCAUUAUGUCUUUGUUUAUUUUAUUUAUACAGAGAAACUAUGCCUCAUCAGCUAUUUCAACAAGAUUUAUUUAGGAAAGGCAGAUCAAUACCUUUCUUUACUCUUUAUUUACCACUUUUCAGAAUAAUGAGCUCAUUCUCUAGCAUCCUCCAAAGGUAACCAAUGAGUUUUUAUUUAGUAUUACUAUGAAUAAAUCAACUUUAAUGUGUUUUAAUCCCUUUCAGUGGUUAUUUUUAUUGAUGCUCAAUGUGUCCCAUAUUUGGCCAGUGUGAACUUCAUGUUGACAUGACUCUAGUGUCUUUGAUGGCUUUCUUGCCAUUAGGGUCGUCUUAUACAUAUGCUGCUAUAUGGUUUUUUUUUUUUUAAAGUGGAAAUGGUACUAAGAGACCUCAAUUUGGGUUCAAAGAAGGUUUUUACUUAUUUAUUUUUUAAGACAGGAAGUAUAACAUGUUUGCUUGCUGAUGGAUGUGAUCCACUGCAGGGGGAAAGGUGAUGCUGCAGGAGGGGCAGGGUUGCUAGAGGAAUGUCCUUGAGUAGGUGAGAGGUGCUGGGGUCCAGCACCCAAGUGGAGGGUUGGUUAUCAGCUGAAAGUGAAGAGGAGGGAGGGUUUGUAGUGAAGAAGAAAAUGUGAAAUAAUUGCUUUGAAAGUUUAUGAGCGAGUGACCAGGAAAAUGCUGGGUACUUCUCAUGACCAACUUGAAGUUUGUGAUUAUAAAUAUUCUAUGUUUUUAUCCAAGUACUUCAGCUGCUUGGAUGCAGGCAUGGAGUAGAUGGGAAGUUGGAUUCAGCCAAAGCUGGGCUUUUGCCAGGCUGGUGGGAUGGAGAGAGUGAGGGAAAUGAGAGUUGAGUGUGCAAGGUAGCUAUUAUAAUAAUGGGUUAUGAAAUCUAGGUGGGCUAAGGUUGAAAGGGGGCAGAAUCUUUUAGUGUCAGGGUCAGAGGGGCUGGAGGUCUGGGGAGUGGAAAAAUAAUUGGAGAGAAGGGCAGGAGAGAGUGACUUGCAAAGACAGGAAGUGCUGAGCACAGCGUGGAAUACUUAAAACUGAGAUUAUGGUGAGAUUACAGGUCCAGGUAAUGACAAGGCCAAGGUAUGACUGUGAAGUAGGUGGCUGUGGUACAGAAGGACAACAUCACUGGAGGUGAGGGGAUCAAGACGUCAAGGUGAGAGGCCAAGGUGUUGGGUGGAUUGUCUUGGUUGAUAGAGAAGGCACCAAGAAUAGUAGUAGGAGUGGGGUGAGGAGAAGACAAUGACCCAGGGGCUGAACUCUUCAAUGGCUGGUGGAGGGAAGGGGGAGCCUGGAAGGCUGUUAAAUGCUGGCAACAGGAGUGGCUGAGGGUGAUGUAGAAUGUCUGCACGCACUUCAAAGCAGCUGAGGCCCUGCAAUCCCCUUGACCACCAGAGAAAUAAUCCCAUAUAUUCAUUCUCUCAUUCAUUCUUUCUUCAACAAAAAUUGAUCAUCCGUCCUAUGAUAAGCAAUACCCGUCCCUCCCCC